rnacentral:rRNA from 1 species
AGCAGUCGCCGCGGUAAUACGGAGGGAGUUAGCGUUGUUCGGAAUUACUGGGCGUAAAGCGCACGUAGGCGGCUUUGUAAGUCAGAGGUGAAGGCCUGGAGCUCAACUCCAGAACUGCCUUUGAGACUGCAUCGCUUGAAUCCAGGAGUGGUGAGUGGAAUUCCGAGUGUAGAGGUGAAAUUCGUAGAUAUUCGGAAGAACACCAGUGGCGAAGGCGGCUCACUGGACUGGUAUUGACGCUGAGGUGCGAAAGCGUGGGGAGCGAACAGGAUUAGAUACCCGUGUAGUCCCUGUCUCUUAUAC